rnacentral:rRNA from 1 species
GAUGAACGCUGGCGGCGUGCUUAACACAUGCAAGUCGAACGCAGUGCUCUUGCUUCGGUAGGGGGCAGCUGAGUGGCGGACGGGUGCGUAACACGUAGGAACCUGCCCCAGAGAGGGGGAUAACCGUUGGAAACGACGGAUAAUCCCGCAUACGCUCCUACGGGAGAAAAGCUACGGCGCUCUGGGAUGGGCCUGCGGCCUAUCAGGUAGUUGGUGGGGUAAUGGCCUACCAAGCCUACGACGGGUAGGGGGCGUGAGAGCGUGGCCCCCCACACGGGAACUGAGACACGGUCCCGACGCCUACGGGCGGCAGCAGUGAGGAAUCUUGCACAAUGGGCGAAAGCCUGAUGCAGCGACGCCGCGUGCGGGAAGAAGGCCUUCGGGUUGUAAACCGCUUUUCUGAGGGACGAGACAGGACGGUACCUCAGGAAUAAGUCCCGGCUAACUACGUG